rnacentral:lncRNA from 1 species
CAGUGAGAGAAAUCAUCGUUCUCAACAUAAAGCCCUGAACAACAGCACUUGACAGUGUCCUUUAAACUUCAAUUUUUCAGUGGAUUGCUUUAAAGAGAAUGAGUAGGGAAAACAGUAGUUAAUUUUAGGUUAUGUUUUAUAUUACACUACUGGGGACAUAAACAGUCCUAAUCUGAGGACUAGAAUCUUUAAACUCCUUAAACAGUUGAGCAAUUAGCUCCAGGUUCUUUAACAAACGAAAAUAAAACAUAAGCACGCCACAGAGCUGUGGAUUUAUCAGUAAGUACCUGCAGUGAGUUUUCAGUGAAGCUUUCUCUCUGUGCUGAUGAGAUUCAUGCUACCUAAAAAUUAACAGAAAUGACACUGUGAACAACGUAGUUGGGAAAUAGGUAUGUGUAUAUGCAUUAUUUAAAUUCACUGUUAAAAUGGGAAUGGGGAGCAGCUCUGGUUCACAAUGCUACAUAUAACUGAGUUUUUGUCUGAUUUUACUCUAUCUGCUUGAUGGCAAAAGGGGAGGGUGGUGGGUGGGAAAGGAAAUGUCAGGGCAAGUGCUCUGAUAAAAUGAAGGCAGGGAAACAAGCUGAAUUACUUGAAUUUUCUUGUCUUAAAACUGAAAAAUAAAUGUAGUUACAAGUUGAAAUCUGCAAAUGGGUUUUACACCUGUGAUUUUGACAUGAACUGAUACUGUAUGAAAUGAUAUGUCGGAAAUAUAAGCAGCUAUGUACUUGGAAUGUUUUGAAUGGGAGAAGGUAGAAAGUAGAGAACUAAGAAGGAAUACGGCCUAUAUAAAAGAAUAGAAUGUGAUUAGAGUGAUAGAACAUACCAGAGUUACCAAGAAGUUGAUAAACAGCUGGCUUUAAGCUUAUGCAAGUGGUAUUUGGGAAAGUAGGAUGUGUGAAAGGGGGUUUGUGGUUUUGGUUUAGUUCAUGCAAAAUGAAGGAGAAAGCCCGGUCUAAGAAGAUGCUAUCUUUCAAUAGAAACACUUUUUAAGAUGUUACAGAGUGAGAAUUACAGAAUCUGAUUGCUGUUGGGUUUUUGUUUGUUUCUUUGGAAAGAAAAAAAAAAUGUCUGGUUUAUUCUAUUUGUUUUCACUAUCAAAUUGUGUUUCUUAAUUUCUUGUCAUCCUCGUAUGUAAAAUGGGUGCUGGGGGUGGCGGGGUAGAGGAGGGAGAAUGUGUGUGUGUGUGUGUGUGUGUGUGUGUGCGUGCGCGCGCGCACGCACGCGUGUGCUUGUGCAGGGAUAGAUAAGCUACCUGGUAAAGCGUACAUAUGAACAUUUACGAAGUGUUAUACCUUUUACUAAAAGAAAAAUGUUUGGGGGUUUGAAAAAAAUGGACCAUCAUUUCUCAUUGGAACCCAUUAGUUAAGAAAACCAGCAUGGUUUGACACCACAUGGGAACGUGAAUAACUUUUUCUCAUACUUUGAAAAGUAUACUUGGCAAACUUUUAAAAGUAAGGUUUUUAGACAAAUGCAAUAAAAAAAGUCAUUUCCAGUCACAAUAGGUGAUUUUUUGUAAUUCUCAUAAAAGCAGCUCGUUUGCAGUACGGCUUUUGUGUAGUUAGGGGUUUUUUAAGCGUAAAGAAAGGUAUGUAGGCUUUAAAAGUGAUUCUAAAUCUUGAACAGAAAACACACAAAUUGGCUUUAACAAAUAUGUCACCUUAUUAUUGACAUUAAUUUAAGUAAUGGUACUAUAUAUAUUUUAAAAUACAUAUUGACUUGAACUGUGAGGCAAUAAGAUACCUUCUAUUUGUAAUGAUCACAGAACUAACCCUUAGAAUAUAGUUUUACUUAUUUUGUUUACUCUAAAAAUUUAUAGCAGAGUUUCUCUAUUUUAUAUUUCAUAGAUUUAAAAAAAAAACCCAGAUAAAGAUGGAUUUAAAAUUCACUGUGCAAAAGAGUAUUGAGUAACAAACUGAGUUAAAAAAAAAAAAAAAGGCAAGAAAUUCCUUAGUAAUUCUACAUGGCUUUAUCACGUAGCACGUAAGACCAAGAUUUAGAGGGUUGUCUUCAACAUCACUGCCGUCUUAAAGCAGGGUACACACAUUAGGUAUUGUGAACAACAUCAACCCAAACUUUUCUUCUGUUGUUUGCACUGAUGCUAAUUUUUUCUUCCUUUGUGUUUAUACAACAUGCCUAUGUUGUGUGGGGGAAAUUUUUUUUCCUGAUUUUUUGAUUUUUUUUUGGCUAAGUAGAGGACACGGACCAGUUGCAGCAAACAAAACACACUGUUUGCUCUUGCCAAAGUUCAGUGAGUACAUUUGCUGCAGUGGUGGCAGACUGAAAGAACUAGAUCAUGACAAAGAUUUACAACUAUGAGGAAGGUUACAGUGUAACUCUUUUGGUACUAGAACCAGUUCAUGCUGGCCGAAAGACAAUGGUUUAUGGACUUGCCUCCAUUUUGUAUUUUUGUAAUAUCUGUAAAUAUGAACUUUUUAAAUCGUUGCAAAAAUGGUUUCUUUUGUAAGAUGUUUUCAACGUUUACAUUCAAUUUCAAGCCUUUGUAUAUUUUAGAGCUGUGCAACACUUUAAGUCUUGUAUUUAUUUUUAGUAAAAAUGGUGACAGUUUCAUUGUGAACCCCUCUCAAAAAAAAUGUACCAGAAAAGUUUGAUUACCUAGAAAGUGUGUAUAGAAACUGCAAAUAAACGUGACUGC